rnacentral:rRNA from 1 species
GACGAACGCUGGCGGCGUGCCUAAUACAUGCAAGUCGAACGCAGUGGGGACGGGUGAGUAACACGUGGGUAACCUCCCAUCAGAGGGGAUAACACUUGGAAACAGGUGCUAAACCGAUAUAGAUGGAUGGACCCGCGGGGCAUUAGCUAGUUGGUGAGGUAACGGCUCAACAAGGCAACGAUACAUAGCCGACCGGGGAGGGGGAUCGGCCACACUGGGACGGGGAAAGGGCCAAGACUCCAACGGGGGGAAGAAGUAGGGAAUUUUGGGCAAUGGAGGAAAGUCUGACCGGGCAACGCGGCGUGAGUGAAGAAGGUUUUCGGAUCGUAAAACUCUGUUGUUAGAGAAGCGGUAUCUAACCAGAAAGCCACGGCUAACUACGUGCCAGCAGCCGCGGUAAUUC